UGAAGCUCAACAGAAGAUGGGUGUUGCAACAGGACAAUGACCCAAAGCAUAGAAGUAAAUCAACAACAGAUUGGCUUAAACAGAAGAAAAUACGCCUUCUGAAGUGGCUCAAAGUCCUGACCUCAACCCGAUUGAGAUGCUGUGGCAUGACCUCAAGAAAGCGAUUCACACCAGACAUCCCAAGAAUAUUGCUGAACUGAAACAGUUCUGUAAAGAGG